rnacentral:lncRNA from 1 species
GCAAAUCCCACUCUACCUUAGAGUUCUAUGAUUUCAGGUGUAUGAUGUUCCAUCACAAAAGGUUCUUAUGAUGCAACCAUUACAGAGAAGUACCUGAGAGCCUUUUGUGCUUGUGUGGAUUUACUUGCAAUGGAUCUCUUAUGCAAAAUACCUUUCCCUUCUCUGCCAGGGCCAUAUACUUGGAAAUAUCUCAAUAUGUCUUCCGUCUUCAGAAUUGUGAUCAAAUGAUAUCAUCAAAAUAGAAUCCAUCAUUAAUAUCUGUCACAUAAGAAUGUCUUAAUCCUUAAAGGAAUAUCAUUAUGGCCUAUCUUGUAUGCAAAGAAAAAGAAGAGACCUCAUAUGGGAAAUUAUUUUCACCAUCACGUUAAACCAAUAAAAAACAAUUUCCC